GGUGAACGCUGGCGGCGUGCUUAAGACAUGCAAGUCGAACGCAGUCUUCGGACUGAGUGGCGCACGGGUGAGUAACACGUAACUGACCUACCCCCAAGUCGCGAAUAACCAGCCGAAAGGAUGGCUAAUACGUGAUGUGAUGAUCCGCUGUGGCGGAUCAUUAAAGACUUGAUCGCUUGGGGAUGGGGUUGCGUUCCAUCAGCUAGUUGGUAAGGUAAAGGCUUACCAAGGCAACGACGGAUAGCCGGCCCGAGAGGGUGGCCGGCCACAGGGGCACUGAGACACGGGUCCCACUCCGACGGGAGGCAGCAGUUAGGAAUCCUCCUCAAUGGGCGCAAGCCUGAUGGAGCGACGCCGCGUGAGGGAUGAAGGUUCUCGGAUCGUAAACCUCUGAACCAACGACGAAAGACCCGACAAGGGAGAUGACGGUAGUUGGGUAAUAGCACCGGCUAACUCCGUGCCAGCCGCCGCAGUAAAAC
rnacentral:rRNA from 1 species